ACUGUUUCUGUAGUGCUUACAUAGUUUACGUCAUCCUUUGAGCAUGGUACAGUGAAUUUGGGAUUGAAACGAAGUUGUAGGGUUUAUUGCUUAUUAAUGUGGGCUUUUCAAGUGAGGCUGUUUAAAUCCAUAGUUAGGCCUUUCUGAAAAGGUGGCCUGUUUUCUCCUUAGGCUUCAGCACCCAGCACCUGCCAGGGAGAUCCACGGGAAUAGUGAGUGCUUAGCAAGGAGGAAAAUAAUUUUAUUUGUAUUACAAAUGAAACUAGGAGCGUGUCCGUCUUGCAAAAUGAGGGACUAACUCUGCGUUUUCCUCUUGCUUUUUCGAGUACUGCAUGUUAUGUGGAGAACAACUGGAAAUCGCAAAGAAUUUUCAAAUAAAUAAUAACUUUCACGGAGCACUGCACUUCGAUGGGGAGCUUGGAGUGGAAGAGCACCACACGUGUGUGCCUACAAUGCAUGAAAGGUAAAUUUGUCCUUAGCUGAGGGAGAAGCCCAGCGCCCGCAUGGAAAGGAUGCCGAGAGACAGAGCUGCAGUCCAAGGGCAGCUGAAAGCCCCGUUCCCAUUCCCGCGGCGGGACCAUCUCCCACCUGGACACCCCGCGGGAGCCGACCUGCAGCCGAGACCGACCCCCACCGCGGCCGGGCUGCGGGACCAUCCCCCGGCAAAAAGUGCUUCCUGCCAAAAAUCACGUCUCCUGGGAGGGGUUGGGAGGUACAUUUGUUGGAAGAUACUAGGAGUGAAGGAAAAACUGGUGCAGAUGAGCUGGAGAGCUCUGCUUAUUUGUUUCCAGUCAGCAUAAACACCGCGCCCCACCCUCCUUUUAAUUUUAGUGGUUAAAAUCGGAGUAUAUUUCCUCAGCAGGUACCUAAAGGAAGAACCCUGAUGUUGCUCUACCGGUUUGCUCUGUCGGCCCCUUUGCAUUUGUGGGCUUUUACGCAUU